GGAGUUGACCAGACAGUCGCCGCUACGCCGUCGUCCCCACAAGGGGAAACAGGGGGGAGGAAAGUCCGGGCUCCAUAGGGCAGGGUGCCAGGUAACGCCUGGGGGGUGCAAACCCACGACAAGUGCAACAGAGAGAAAACCGCCAAUGGCCCACACAAGCGGGAACAGGUAAGGGUGAAAGGGUGCGGUAAGAGCGCACCGCGCGGCUGGUAACAGUUCGCGGCAUGGUAAACUCCACCCGGAGCAAGGCCAAAUAGGGGUUCACAUGGUACGGCCCGUACUGAACCCGGGUAGGCUGCUUGAGCCAGCGCGCGAGCGCUGGUCUAGAUGAAUGACUGUCCACGACAGAACCCGGCUUAACGGUCAACUCCACUC
rnacentral:RNase_P_RNA from 1 species